rnacentral:tRNA from 1 species
GCUCCGGUGGCUCAGUUGGAAGAGCAUCCGAAUGAUAAUCGGAGGGCCGGUGGUUCAAGUCCAUCCCGGAGCACCA